AUUGAUCCCCAAGAGAAAAAAACUAUCGAAGAAUUGAACUACAUGUCUGUCUUGCUAGCUCAGAGGAAAUCUGAGAUAGCUGUGUUACAAGCUCAAUUGCAACAGGCCUCUCAGAGCACAAGUACGGGACCAGGUGCGAUAGAGGACCUGCAGGCUGAAAACGCUCAGCUUAAGACUGAGAUAGCCGUGUUGCAAGCUCAAUCGCAACAGGCCUCUCAGGGCACAAGUACGGGACCAGGUGCCAUGGAGGAACUGCAGGCUGAAAAUGCUCAGCUUAAGGCUGAGAUAGCCCUGUUGGAAGCUCAAUCGCAACAGGCCUCUCAGGGCACAAGUACGGGACCAGGUGCGAUGGAGGAUCUGCAGGCUGAAAAUGCUCAGCUUAAGACUGAGAUAGCCGUGUCACAUGCACAAUUGCAACUGGCCUCUCAGGGCACAAGUACGGGACCAGGUGCGAAGGAGGACCUGCAGGCUGAAAACGCUCAACUUAAGUCUGAGAUGGCGGAUUUCAAGAAACACGUGGAGGACCUGAUUCAGCAAAUGCUAACUGAUCAACGUGCUGCCAUGAAACGACUUGACCGGCUUCUCUUCAAGCCCUAAUCCGACGACUGCUGUUGCCCUCUGCAUGUCGACUCAUGCUUCUAUAGCUUACCCAGAGGCAUAUUUAAGAUUUCGAGCAAAUGGUUGCACUAUUAUGAAAAGGAUGAAUAUAACAUACUAAUUUAAUCGAUUUGACCUUGAGGUUCUUAUAAAAAAAAAGAAUAAUAAUAAUGAUCACCAAACAUAAACAAUGGACCAAAAUUUGGACAAUUUUUUUUUUU
rnacentral:lncRNA from 1 species